rnacentral:rRNA from 1 species
GAUGAACGCUGGCGGCGUGCUUAACACAUGCAAGUCGAUCGGUGAACACGGAGCUUGCUCUGUGGGAUCAGUGGCGAACGGGUGAGUAACACGUGAGCAACCUGCCCCUGACUCUGGGAUAAGCGCUGGAAACGGCGUCUAAUACUGGAUAUGUGACGUGACCGCAUGGUCUGCGUUUGGAAAGAUUUUUCGGUUGGGGAUGGGCUCGCGGCCUAUCAGCUUGUUGGUGAGGUAAUGGCUCACCAAGGCGUCGACGGGUAGCCGGCCUGAGAGGGUGACCGGCCACACUGGGACUGAGACACGGCCCAGACUCCUACGGGAGGCAGCAGUGGGGAAUAUUGCACAAUGGGCGCAAGCCUGAUGCAGCAACGCCGCGUGAGGGAUGACGGCCUUCGGGUUGUAAACCUCUUUUAGCAGGGAAGAAGCGAAAGUGACGGUACCUGCAGAAAAAGCGCCGGCUAACUACGUG